AAUAUGUACCAUUAUGUGUUCAAUAAAGGGUUACUAAUGAACUCAUUGAUUAUCUCAGUCAAUAUUGAUGGUGUAAACAUCAAUGAAAUACACAAAGAGCUUAAUGAUGUUAGCUCAUAUCUAAAGAUAGGGAUAUUGAAAUGAAAAGCUUGAAAAAGUCAAGUGUUAUCUCGACUUAAUGAUCGAGUAUUUCUUUAAUGGAACUGUAUACUCCAGUUAGCCAAU